AGCAAAAGGUUUUCAAUGUUUUUCUUCUUUUUAAUUGUGAGCCAAGUGGAACCAAUGGAAGUUAUCAGGAACUUCACCUUCAUUUACAUAAUUGCUAUGUGGAAUGGGAAAUUGGCUUAUGCAAGGAAGCUGAGACUCAUUAGUGACAAGCAUCUUUAGGAGAGGGAGGGCUCCCUGCAUUUGUGUUCAGCUGAAGGUUGUGGGGGUGUCUGAGGAGAUACAUCCCUGUUAGCCAGCCAAUUAAUGAAAACUCCAGUGAAUUGAAUGGAAUUGAGUGUUUGCCUGUUUCUGUGAGGUCACUUGCCUGGAGAUUGCAAACAGAAUCGUGAUGCCUUGCACAGCAAAAGAAGAUGCUGAAUACACGUUUGGGGAAGUGUGGGAGGAGAUUUUAGGUCCAUCAGCAGCCUGGGGAAAAGGAGGACUGUAGACACAUGAGGCAGGCAGCCCAUUCCUGCACAGGAGUUUGAUUGUAUUCACUUACACUUCUUGAUUCAAAUGACUCCUCCAACAUGAAGGACUGGGUGA